rnacentral:misc_RNA from 1 species
UCGUCCAUGCUCUGCAGGAUA